CCUACGGGAGGCAGCAGUGAGGAAUAUUGGUCAAUGGGCGCGAGCCUGAACCAGCCAAGUAGCGUGAAGGAUGACUGCCCUACGGGUUGUAAACUUCUUUUAUAAAGGAAUAAAGUGAGGCACGUGUGCCUUUUUGUAUGUACUUUAUGAAUAAGGAUCGGCUAACUCCGUGCCAGCAGCCGCGGUAAUACGGAGGAUCCGAGCGUUAUCCGGAUUUAUUGGGUUUAAAGGGAGCGUAGAUGGGUUGUUAAGUCAGUUGUGAAAGGUUGCGGCUCAACCGUAAAAUUGCAAUUGAUACUGGCAGUCUUGAGUACAGUAGAGGUAGGCGGAAUUCGUGGUGUAGCGGUGAAAUGCUUAGAUAUCACGAAGAACUCCGAUUGCGAAGGCAGCUUACUAAACUGACACUGACGUUGAGGCUCGAAAGUGUGGGUAUCGAACAGGAUUAGAUACCCGGGUAGUC
rnacentral:rRNA from 1 species